rnacentral:lncRNA from 1 species
UACAAACCAGGGCUUCCAAAAAAUAUUUGAGCCAGCCGGACAUUUUAUAUCUGAUCCCGAUUUUAAUCCCUAAGACUAAGUCACAAAAGGCAAUUUAAAUAAAUUAUAGUAAUCAGAUGGCCAUCCCAAUGAUUGACAUUAGAUUAAAAAAAAACGUUAUUAAACUUUACUUUGAUAUGAAUUUGAUGUUCUGACGUAAACUGUUAAAUUGACAGUGCAUCAUUCAAAGUAUGCACAUCAGCGUGCUCAUAUCUGCCUUAGACUCUUUAUUUGUGCAAAAUGAUGUUGUCAAAACUUUACUUUCGUUUUUAAACCGGAUGUUGACAUGACAAUGGUAAAACAUGGACCAUGUAUGGAUACGUGAAAUCCGUGUACGUUUCACAAAGCACGACUGAGUGAAGGAGCUCUUUCCACGUUAUUUUUUCAACAAAAUACUUCAAAUGAACUUUAGAUACAGGGGUUGAAUGAUAAUUUUAGCAUUUUUGAAGAAAUGUAGGAUGCAUAAUUAAACUUCCCACCUGUGCACAUGCGCACAUGUGUUCCAGUUUGUACUAUCAUAGUUCGGAUGAUUUUUUUAAAAUUUUUCAUCAAAUCAUGUUUAUAAACAUAUUUCUUAUAAUUUUAAUCUUUUGGUCUAAAUCAAUUAGAUACAAAC